CAGUCGCCACGGGAAUACGUAGGGUGCGAGCGUUAAUCGGAAUUACUGGGCGUAAAGCGUGCGCAGGCGGUUUUGUAAGACAGGCGUGAAAUCCCCGGGCUCAACCUGGGAAUGGCGCUUGUGACUGCAAAGCUAGAGUGCGGCAGAGGGGGAUGGAAUUCCGCGUGUAGCAGUGAAAUGCGUAGAUAUGCGGAGGAACUCCGAUGGCGAAGACAAUCCCCUGGGCCAAUACUGACGCUCAUGCACGAAAGCGUGGGGAGCAAACAGGAUUAGAUACCCCCGUAGUCCCUGUCUCUUAUAC
rnacentral:rRNA from 1 species